rnacentral:sRNA from 1 species
AUUCUACCCAUGCGGGGAAGGAUGAGAAGCUUCGACUAAGGUUCGAUUCGAGCGCAGCGAGAAAGCGUUGCCGCAGGCAACGACCCGAAG